CAAAUGGGAUACAGCCGGUAAAUCUAAAAGCAGAUAAAUAUACAAAAAUAGUGUUAUACAGCUAAAUAAAGCUAUGUGUGCUAAAAUUAGAUGCACUCACAGGAAUAAGGUAUACAAUGUGCUCAAGGAGUGCCUCCCCGAUGGCAAUGGGGCAAUGUUGUUCCCUUUCUCGUUCGGGUUGAUAAUAGUAGCUUUUAUCAC